GUGCCAGCCGCCGCGGUAAUACGUAGGUGACAAGCGUUGUCCGGAUUUAUUGGGCGUAAAGCGAGCGCAGGCGGCUCUUUAAGUCUGAGGUGAAAGCCCACGGCUCAACCGUGGAACGGCAUUGGAAACUGGAGAGCUUGAAUGUAGAAGAGGAAAGUGGAAUUCCAUGUGUAGCGGUGGAAUGCGUAGAUAUAUGGAGGAACACCAGUGGCGAAGGCGACUUUCUGGUCUACUAUUGACGCUGAGGCUCGAAAGCGUGGGGAGCGAACAGGAUUAGAUACCCUAGUAGUCC
rnacentral:rRNA from 1 species